AGCCUUAGUAAUAUUAAUUUUUAAAAAGUUGUUUAGCUACAUUCUUCCGAUGACUAGCAUAAUGACUGCAUAAGACAGAGAGAGAGGGCGAGCAGAGACAGUGUGUGUCAGCCUGUAGGAAGUUAGGACCAUAAAGGAAGUGGGGAGGGGUCUAGCAAAGACAGCAUCAUCAUCUCUGAGGACUCCUGGAAUGGUUCAGGGCAGUUCAGUUGGACACAAGUUUGCCUCGGAGUGUUUUCCUUUUGUCAAUAAUUAAUCACUGGAAUCAACCUGGCAAGACUGGAGUUUUAACAACAGUGCAGAGGGUGAGUCAGAAGAAACACCUCGGGCUGAUAAAUCCAUCGGUAACUCCAAGCAGCAGGAAGCCAGUGUCCACACUGCUCAUCAGCCCACAGGGUCAUCCACUCCGAACAAGAGGUCCA
rnacentral:lncRNA from 1 species